rnacentral:rRNA from 1 species
CAGCCGCCGCGGUAAUACAGAGGGUGCGAGCGUUAAUCGGAUUUACUGGGCGUAAAGCGUGCGUAGGCGGCUUUUUAAGUCGGAUGUGAAAUCCCUGAGCUUAACUUAGGAAUUGCAUUCGAUACUGGGAAGCUAGAGUAUGGGAGAGGAUGGUAGAAUUCCAGGUGUAGCGGUGAAAUGCGUAGAGAUCUGGAGGAAUACCGAUGGCGAAGGCAGCCAUCUGGCCUAAUACUGACGCUGAGGUACGAAAGCAUGGGGAGCAAACAGGAUUAGAGACCCCCGUAGUCCCUGUCUCUUAUAA